GAUGAACGCUGGCGGCGUGCCUAAUACAUGCAAGUCGAGCGAACAGACGAGGAGCUUGCUCCUCUGACGUUAGCCGCGGACGGGUGAGUAACACGUGGAUAACCUACCUAUAAGACUGGGAUAACUUCGGGAAACCGGAGCUAAUACCGGAUAAUAUAUUGAACCGCAUGGUUCAAUAGUGAAAGACGGUUUUGCUGUCACUUAUAGAUGGAUCCGCGCCGCAUUAGCUAGUUGGUAAGGUAACGGCUUACCAAGGCAACGAUGCGUAGCCGACCUGAGAGGGUGAUCGGCCACACUGGAACUGAGACACGGUCCAGACUCCUACGGGAGGCAGCAGUAGGGAAUCUUCCGCAAUGGGCGAAAGCUUGACGGAGCAACGCCGCGUGAGUGAUGAAGGUCUUCGGAUCGUAAAACUCUGUUAUUAGGGAAGAACAAAUGUGUAAGUAACUAUGCACGUCUUGACGGUACCUAAUCAGAAAGCCACGGCUAACUACGU
rnacentral:rRNA from 1 species